rnacentral:rRNA from 2 species
CCUACGGGUGGCUGCAGUGGGGAAUAUUGCGCAAUGGGGGAAACCCUGACGCAGCAACGCCGCGUGGGGGACGAAGGUUUUCGGAUUGUAAACCCCUGUCCUAUGGGACGAUAAUGACGGUACCAUAGGAGGAAGCCACGGCUAACUACGUGCCAGCAGCCGCGGUAAUACGUAGGUGGCAAGCGUUGUCCGGAAUUACUGGGCGUAAAGGGCGCGUAGGCGGUACCCUAAGUUAGAUGUGAAAACCCGAAGCUUAACUUCGGACCUGCAUUUAAAACUGGGGAACUCGAGUGUCGGAGAGGAAAGCGGAAUUCCAAGUGUAGCGGUGAAAUGCGUAGAUAUUUGGAGGAACACCAGUGGCGAAGGCGGCUUUCUGGACGAUAACUGACGCUGAGGCGCGAAAGCGUGGGGAGCAAACAGGAUUAGAUACCCCGGUAGUC